ACCAGAACUCCAGCCCACCAUGUCUCUGACAAACAGGUGAGAAGACCAGAAAGUUUUAAUGAAGAUAAUUACCAUCCUGUUGUGGAAGGACAUGUUGCUUUCUCUCUCAAGUUAGACCUCUCAGGACUGCUAUAAACAGCAUCACAGGAAAGAAACUAAGAAGCCACAAUUUAAUCCACUUCCCCUUUGCUCUUGGGACUCAUUUGCUGCUGUGUAUCACAUACAUCAACCCUAUCCCAGAUGUAUAGAGCAAGGAACCAAGAAAGUUACUUGCAGCCUACACAUUCUUUCUUCAGAGAAGGCAAACACACACUUGUGGAAGGUUAUACUGAUGGAUAAUAACCUCAAUUAAGCAAACGGGAAAACAUGAAAAAACCAUCAUGAUUAGAUUAAAUAACCAUGGACCGUCAAGCAUUGGAAGAAGUUUCCCGGAGAAGCUGUGUGGUUUCUGUCUGUUCUCGGAGAUUCUCAUGACACAAUUAGAUAAAGCCUUCAGCCACCUGGGUCUGACCUCAACUUGACCCUGGUUUGAACAGGAGUAUGGACCAGAUUGCUCCUAAGGUCCCUUUCAAUAUAAAUGAUUGAUAUGAUUUAUGAUUUUGUUUUAUGACCUAUGAUUUUAGGACUUUCUCACUCUAAGCUAAGGACCAGAAUGGAUUGUCUGAGAAGGUUGUGGCAUUUUUACCCUGGCAGAAUUUGAAGAGGCUAGAGGGGAAAAGGAGGAGUUUGGCAAACACACACCUGCAAGAAACACAUUAGAUGGUGUUGUGCUGGGAUUGGGACAUAGACUACGUGAGUUAUAUAGGUCAUUUCUAAUUCCAAUUGCCAAGUAAAACUCUGAGAAUUUAUGAAUUGAUUAACCUUCUAUGAUGAAUAUCUGAUUAAAAUGACAUCAGAACAAAAUAACCCCAACAAGCUGGUGCUCAUACUAUAUAAGCAAUUCCCUUCUUCCUUAGAAUUCUACAGAAUCUAUCUAGUGGGUCGACACUUUCCAAGCAGUUUCACUGUUUUCUGCUGCAGAUCUGUCUAUGUUAAUCAUAUUUCAAAUAAGAUGCAAUACAAUAGUGAUUCUCAACCUCCUGUCCACAGACUGCUCAUGGUGUAUAAGGCAUCAGAAAAGGCAUCCACAAAAAGUUUGCAAAGAUGUCCACAUAAAAGUAUGUACGUAUGCAUAUUCAUACAAUGUAUGGGCAUACCUACAUUCUCUUUUGAAGGAUGCACGCUGAUGUUGCCUGGCCCAGCACAACUGAGUACUUUCUCCCAACUGCUGUUUCUAUCUGUAGGCAGGCACUGUAAAAAAACAUGCAGAUCACAUUAAAUUUUUUUUAUUAUUUUCAACUGAAAUGUUUACAAACUUAGCAUUCUAUCGUUAUACGUUGAUAUUAGAAAACAAUAGGGAAGACUCUUUCCUAAAUGGUAAGACCUUAAUUCAUCAUUCUUUCCAUACGUGCUGAUUCAUUAAAUAUUUCUGCAAUACAAGAUGGUUUGCAGACAUGUUUCAUAAGAUUUAGGCAAAAUUAAGAAAAGCAGACACUUUCCUUUGCAGCUUGAGAAAUGGCUUUAAGGGUGUGUUAUCAAUUUGUGAUGCAUGAUUUUGCUAUUAAGCUUAUUAAAGAAAAAUAUGUAUCACUGUACAACUGGUUGUGUUUAUGCUUUCAAACCACAAUGGUCAUCCAUAGAAAAUAAACACACACCAUUAGCUCCCCUUGUUUUCUUGAAUUCUUGAAAAAGCAGCAAACUGUUUUGGCUCCUGGGUUCAGAUAACAAAGAUAUAAUUCCAAGAACUGAGAUAGCAUUUUUAAUUCUUUUGAUUUAUAUAGGAGAGUACUUUAAUGAGUAGUGUAAAUUUUUACAAUUUGUGUAAGGGUUUUUUUUGCUAUUUUAUUGGGUUUUGCUUUUUUGUUUAAAUGAC